GCCCGCUUGGCUAAGUGGUAUAGCGUGUCACUAGUAAAUGCUAGAUGCCAUGACAAGAUCAGCGGUUCGAUUCCGCUAGUGGGCA
rnacentral:tRNA from 1 species